rnacentral:misc_RNA from 1 species
GAUGAAGAACGUAGCGAAAUGCGAUAAGUAAUGUGAAUUGCAGAAUUCAGUGAAUCAUCGAAUCUUUGAACGCACCUUGCACUCCUUGGUAUUCCGAGGAGUAUGCCUGUUUGAGUGUCAUGAAAUUCUCAACCAUAGCAAUUCUGCUAUUGGCUUGGAUUUGGGACUUGCUGGUUACAUUUGUGAUCGGCUAUCCUUAAAUGUAUUAGCAGAACAACAUUGUCUGAUUGGUGUGAUAAUUAUCUGCAUUAUGAAGAUAAUGUAUUGGUUCAGCUUCUAAUUCACUUUUUUGACUAUUUGACCUCAAAUCAGGUAGGACUACCCGCUGAACUUAAGCAUAUCAAUAAGCGGAGGA